CUACGGGGGGCUCCAGUAGAGAAUCUUCCGCAAUGGACGAAAGUCUGACGGAGCGACACCGCGUGAAGGAUGAAGGCCCUCGGGUUGUAAACUUCUUUUCUGGGGGAAGAAAAUUUGACGGUACCCCAGGAAUAAGGUCCGGCUAAUUACGUGCCAGCAGCCGCGGUAAUACGUAAGGGCCAAACGUUAUCCGGAAUUAUUGGGCGUAAAGCGUCCGCAGGUGGCGUAGUAAGUCUAUCAUUAAAUACCGGUGCUUAAAAUCGGUGCUGUGGUGGAAACUACUACUGCUUGAGGAUGGGAGAGGUAUAUGGAAUUGUGCAAGUAGGGGUAAAAUCCGUAGAUAUGCACAGGAACACCAAAAGCGAAGGCAGUAUACUGGACCAUUCCUGACACUCAGGGACGAAAGCGUGGGUAGCAAAAGGGAUUAGAUACCCCCGUAGUC
rnacentral:rRNA from 1 species